rnacentral:rRNA from 1 species
GAUGAACGCUAGCGGCGUGCCUAAUACAUGCAAGUCGAGCGAACGGACGAGAAGCUUGCUUCUCUGAUGUUAGCGGCGGACGGGUGAGUAACACGUGGAUAACCUACCUAUAAGACUGGGAUAACUUCGGGAAACCGGAGCUAAUACCGGAUGAUAUUUUGAACCGCAUGGUUCAAAAGUGAAAGACGGUCUUGCUGUCACUUAUAGAUGGAUCCGCGCUGCAUUAGCUAGUUGGUAAGGUAACGGCUUACCAAGGCAACGAUGCAUAGCCGACCUGAGAGGGUGAUCGGCCACACUGGAACUGAGACACGGUCCAGACUCCUACGGGAGGCAGCAGUAGGGAAUCUUCCGCAAUGGGCGAAAGCCUGACGGAGCAACGCCGAGUGAGUGAUGAAGGUCUUCGGAUCGUAAAACUCUGUUAUUAGGGAAGAACAUAUGUGUAAGUAACUGUGCACAUCUUGACGGUACCUAAUCAGAAAGCCACGGCUAACUACGUG